rnacentral:rRNA from 1 species
GACGAACGCUGGCGGCGUGCCUAAUACAUGCAAGUAGAACGCACAGUUUAUACCGUAGCUUGCUACACCAUAGACUGUGAGUUGCGAACGGGUGAGUAACGCGUAGGUAACCUGCCUGGUAGCGGGGGAUAACUAUUGGAAACGAUAGCUAAUACCGCAUAAUAUUAAUUAUUGCAUGAUAAUUGAUUGAAAGAUGCAACUGCAUCACUACCAGAUGGCCCUGCGUUGUAUUAGCUAGUAGGUGAGGUAACGGCUCACCUAGGCGACGAUACAUAGCCGACCUGAGAGGGUGAUCGGCCACACUGGGACUGACACGGCCCAGAACCCUAAGGGAGGCAGCAGUAGGGAAUCUUCGGCAAUGGACGAAAGGCUGAACGAGCAACGCCGCGGGAGUGAAGAAGGUUUUCGGAUCGUAAAGCUCUGUUGUAAGAGAAGAAAGGGUGUGAGAGUGGAAAGUUCACACUGUGACGGUAUCUUACCAGAAAGGGACGGCUAACUACGUG